CGAUGCCUACGGGACGCAGCAGUAGGGAAUCUUCCACAAUGGACGAAAGUCUGAUGGAGCAACGCCGCGUGAGUGAAGAAGGGUUUCGGCUCGUAAAGCUCUGUUGGUAGUGAAGAAAGAUAGAGGUAGUAACUGGCCUUUAUUUGACGGUAAUUACUUAGAAAGUCACGGCUAACUACGUGCCAGCAGCCGCGGUAAUACGUAGGGGGCAAGCGUUGUCCGGGUUUAUUGGGCGUAAAGCGAGUGCAGGCGGGUUCAUUA
rnacentral:rRNA from 1 species